AACUAACCCAGGAUUCCCCUAGUAACGGCGAGUGAAGGGGGAUCAGCCCAGCACCGAAGUCUGUGGUCAUUUGAUUACUAGACAAUGUGGUGUUUAGGAAUGUUCUUGGCAUUACUGCUCUACCCUAAGUCCAGCAAUGAGUACGGCAAACUGGAAUGGCCCACAGAGGGUGAAAGGCCCGUUUGGGUAGAGAUCAAGUUGGACAGUUUUGCCUUGAAUAUUCCUUGGAGUCGGGUUGUUUGUGAAUGCAGCCCAAAGUGGGUGGUAAACUCCAUCCAAGGCUAAAUACUGGCACGAGUCCGAUAGCAAACAAGUACCGUGAGGGAAAGUUGAAAAGUACUUUGAAGAGAGAGUAAACAGUGCGUGAAACCGCUCAGAGGUAAACGGGUGGAGUUGAACUGGAAGCCCUGGGAAUUCAGCUGAUGAGUAUAGCAUGAACUUGGGCAUAUUUGCUGGCGUUUAGAGUCCGCUCAGGUGCGGGUCUUUGCUCUUUGAGUAGAGAUGUGCGUUAGCUUAUCAAGCUUUGUGCGCUCUAAUCGAUCCGGGCUUGCUUAUCAGUGCACUUUCUCAGGGUGAUCACCACGACCGGCGUUGCUGUCUGUCUACUAUGGUUAAACUUAUCAGGUUUGGUCUUUGACUAGGCUUGGUUGGGAUGGCAGGUAGUUUAUUCAAUCUUGUUGGUCUUGGCUGGCUUGAUUGUUUAAAUGUAAUCAGCUGACUAUAGUAGAUCUGUGCAGUGCGCCGGAGAUAGCGGCUUUGGUGUGUGCAUACGUGCUAUGGGUUACCGACUUAAUUGAGUUUGAUUGACAUGUUACCAACCUUGGUGGGUCUGUUGGUAGCUCGGUUAUGUUCGGUAGACGGUAGCGUGUGUGACACCGCUUAGGCCUAUAGUCUGUGGUGUAGUGGUAAACUAUCCAUCCGACCCGUCUUGAAACACGGACCAAGGAGUUUAAUAUGUACGCGAGUCAUUGGGCGUUACGAAACCCAAAGGCGCAGUGAAAGUAAAGGUUUGGCUUGUCCGAACUAAGGUGAGAUCCCGUUGUUUCUUCUGCCUGGAACUUCCAAGUAUUCGAGCAGCGGGCGCAUCACCGGCCCGUCCCACGACGUAGACAUGUGACCUUGUGUCGUGUGCACCGUCGGGACGGAGCUAGAGCGUACACAUUAUGACCCGAAAGAUGGUGAACUAUGCUUGCGCAGGUUGAAGCCAGAGGAAACUCUGGUGGAGGACCGCAGCGAUUCUGACGUGCAAAUCGAUCGUCAAACGUGAGUAUAGGGGCGAAAGACUAAUCGAACCAUCUAGUAGCUGGUUCCCUCCGAAGUUUCCCUCAGGAUAGCUGGCAUUCGGAGAUAUAAACAGUUUUAUCCGGUAAAGCGAAUGAUUAGAGGCAUUGGGGAUAAAUCAUUCUUAACCUAUUCUCAAACUUUAAAUGGGUGAGAGGCCCCACUCGCUUGAGUGGAGUGGGGCGUUGAAUGUGAGUGCCAAGUGGGCCAUUUUUGGUAAGCAGAACUGGCGCUGUGGGAUGAACCAAACGUCUGGUUAAGGUGCCUAACGCGACGCUCAUGAGAUACCACAAAAGGUGUUGGUUGGUCUAGACAGCAGGACGGUGGCCAUGGAAGUCGGAAACCGCUAAGGA
rnacentral:rRNA from 1 species